UAAAUGUCCUCCUCAGAAGCUCACCGGAUCACGUACCAAAGAGGAAUUCGUUUGAAAAUCUUAAUGAUCAAUCAGUCUAUAACAGUCUAGUUGCAUAUGGUCAAUCGAAACUUGCCAAUAUUUUGCAUGUUAAAGAGCUAGCAAGACGGCUAAAGGAAGAUGGAGUGGAUAUAACUGCAAAUUCACUUCACCCAGGAGUAGUUCUCACCAAUCUUUUUCGCAAUAGUCGUGUUGUUAAUGAUCUGAUUUAUUCUAUCGGUAAAUUUGUGUUUAAAAAUGUUCGGCAGGGAGCUGCUACAACGUGUUAUUUGGCGCUGCACCCGGAAGUAAAAGGGAUAAGCGGUGAAUACUUUGAGAAUUGUCAGUUAAGAAAGCCGAGUGCACAGGCUAGGAAUGUAGAAUUGGCAAAGAAACUCUGGGACUUCAGUGUGAAUUUAAUUAGAAACUCCGGAAUUUCGAUAUGAAUCUUUAUUAAAAGAAUUUGGUGUUAUACGUUGUUGGUCGUGGUUGUGGUCGUGAUCGUGGUCGUGGUCGUGGGUAACUUUUAAUUCUAAUAAAAUGAAUCUAUUAGUUGUUUUUCUUUUUUUUUCUAUUUUUCAAUUGAGAUGUAAGAAUUAAUACAAGUCUGCAUUAAGGCUUGUGAUAAUCAGUGAUGCCCUUGAUGAAUUGGCAUUGCCUGUUAAUGAGAACCCUUUGUAGGAAAAACCAGUCUUGUAUACAUUUUUUUAUUGUUUGUAUAGAUUAUUUCAGUGGGGAUGUAAGUGUUUGAACUAA